CCGGCGCACGGGUGAGUAACGCGUAUGCAACCUGCCCGUUUCAGCGGGAUAACCCGGAGAAAUCCGGCCUAGUACCGCAUGUGGCCGAGGGGAGGCAUCUUCUUUCGGCCAAAGGAGGCGACUCCGGAGACGGAUGGGCAUGCGUGACAUUAGCUAGUUGGCGGGGUAACGGCCCACCAAGGCGACGAUGUCUAGGGGUUCUGAGAGGAAGGUCCCCCACACUGGUACUGAGACACGGACCAGACUCCUACGGGAGGCAGCAG
rnacentral:rRNA from 1 species